UCGAUCGUCUGCAGUAGAAAUUCAUCAGAUGUAGCCUAGUUGUUAGAAAUUCGAGACGUGUUCAGUGUGUUCCGUUUUAAACAUUCUUUUGGGUACUCGUUAAUACGCUGAAAUUUUUCAUUUUUUUGUACCAACCUGAAGGACACUUUUUCACGACACACACACGAUUGUUUGAAAGUUGAUUUUUCACUAGACUUCAUUUGAAUGUACAGUACAGUAUAUUUGCAGGUUAUAUCUUUCAGUAUUUAUUUGCUGUCAGGCAAUGUUUUCAUAUCUUUAGGUGCAGUUCCUAUCAUCAGACCUACAGUGUGCACAAAUAGGCAAUGGGAAAAAUCUGCUUAUUGUGCUGAUCUGCAUAAUGCCGACUUCAUGGUAACUAAUUCCUCGUGGCAUUUCCAUUCACGCAUGUGGGGCAGUUCGUGAGCAGACGAACCAUUGAAAGAGCCCUGCGCAGUCUAGUUGCAUCCAGCCAGAUACUAGUAGAACCCAAAACAUUUUCUUGACAAGUGCUGCCAUAUUCCGGUUGCAGGUUUUCAGUAAAUACCAAGGAAGUGCUUUCAACACUGCAGGCUGGUCCUACGAGCUACGAAAGUUUUACCUACAAGCGUUUCGCGUUUCGUGCUGCAACUAUUAGUUGAUAUUCAAGGAUGUUAUGCCUAAAAUUGGAAUUCAGCUAUCAGAGAUUAGCAACAUUCAAACGGAAACUCUAGAUGGCGUUGAUGUGCGUUUAUGAUGAAGAUUAUGAGUGACAAGUCAAAUGGGUGUUUGUUACGUUACCCUGUUAAGUGUUUCAAAGGAUUUUUCGUCAAAAAAUUUACGAUUGCUUUUUGUAUGUGGUGGUGUUGCACCUUGUCAGCUAUGCCAGCUGCUGAACCAGUAGCCUGCAUUCCUGCUAUCAAUGUACCACAAGAGAUCCUGACACUUUUAGAAGGCAACUAUUGCUUACAUGAAGAUCACUAUCCAGUUCAAGUACUGUGAAUGGACCUCAAGCCAUUCUUUUAAGCUUAGGGAUGUGUUCUCUCACCAGUCAACGACAGAGUCUUCAUCUACUUUGAGUUGCUAACCAUCAGCCCUCAGGCCUUAGCAUCCCAGGUAUCCAGAUUUCCAAGUUUCUCUAAUUAGUUAACCAUCAUCCAUACCCUUCAGCUCUUCAUUGUGGCUUCUCUUCCUCUCAUCUCAGUCUGCUGAAUACCAACAUUGAAUAAUGUUCAUCAUCAUUGCCUUUCCAUGAAAAUCUUCAUUUUAAAUCCUGCUGUUCUUCUCACCGUUACUUAGCCAUCUCACAUGGAAAGGGUUUAACAACAUCUCAAUUUUUUGGACUGCAAAUAUUAAUUUUCUUUCGGUACAACACUGCCGUUUUGACAACUUCGGGAGUUUCACCCCCAGUGGACCAAACGCAACUAUAUUUUCUUCGUCUUCCUGUCGUUGUUGUCUACGACUUCACCUCAUCGCUGCCUUCGUUGACGUCUUCGCCUUCAUCUCCGUCUCGUCGUCUUGGUCGUCUUCGCCUUCAUCUCCGUCUCGUCGUCUUGGUCGUCUUCGCCUUCAUCUCCGUCUCGUCGUCUUGGUCGUCUUCGCCUUCAUCUCCGUCUCGUCGUCUUGGUCGUCUUCGCCUUCAUCUCCGUCUCGUCGUCUUGGUCGUCUUCGCCUUCAUCUCCGUCUCGUCGUCUUCGCCGUCUUUGUCUACGCCAUCACCUUGUCCCCGGCUUCUCCUUCAUCCUUUACAAGGGAAUUCACCGUGGAUCGUCGCUCUGGUAUUGUUUUAUUUUGCAUUGUAAUUGUU